AGGCUCUUCAUCUGUAGCUGCCGUAUGAAGUAGAGGUCAGUUGUGUGGGAGUUCUUAGCCUGUGAAGUCUGAUGCUAAUUCUAGAAGUCCGUAAAAUUGAAUCAAAUUGUUGGGAACGAUACCACAGGAGGAAGAAUCUCCUACUCUUUUGAUGUCAAGAAAGACGGGAUUUGCUAGAGCAGCCACAGCUCACAACACAUGGCGUUGGGGCAGAGGAAGGGUGACAGGGCAGUGGACAGCGCAGGAACCUCCGGCCCUGCGUUCUGCUUGACGAGGACAGUGCACAGCUGCAGGUGGGCUGUGCUCGGUCACUAAGUGAAGGGAAAGCUGCUUUUAUUGUGAAGGAGCUUUGUCCUGAGGAUAAGAAGGACUCCUGUCAUCUAUACUGUAGAGAACCGGUGUCCGGAUGUGCUCUGUGAAAUCUCCAGGAGUUCGUAAAGGAAGCAACGAGCACCAAUCCCAGGCAAACACAGGACCCGAAGAAAGAUGUUUUCUCAUCUGACCAUUUAACACUGAUGCUCUUGCACGCUGUCUCUAAACCUCCAGUUCUGAAAUGUCCCCGCAAAGCUUUGCCUUGAAGACUUGGUCCCCAACUGAGAAGUGUGCGGAGAUGGUGUGUUUGGGAGGAGAUUCUACCAUGAGGGAUUAAUCCACAGAAAAUCCGGACAAAGAAAUUCUACAGCCCCAAGGAACUGCAGUAGGUAAGCGAAUCUCCAUUCCCUAAGGGCUUCUAGGAACCUCACAAAAUUCAACCUUCUCAGAAUCAGCACGUUGCCUCCUGAGGGUGCUGGAAACAGACGUGAGGCCUCCAGUACUUUUUGGCUGCUGAAGCGCUGAAUUAACGGCGCCUGUUCACUGGAAAGAUGGAGACACUGCCCUCGACGGGCAUCUUUGGGGCAGGGGCACUGGAGCAGGGCUGGCCCUGUUCAGCAGUGUCUGCAGAUCACUCCUUUCUGGCCUGAGACUUCGGUGGAAGAACUGAUACGAUUCCAAAAGGACAGUGUGGGAGGAAGAGAUGUGGUAGAAUUUUAAAGUCGUUUUUCCCUGAUGGGAUUUGGCAAGAAAGCGUUCCUUCCCCCCGUCUCAUUUUCUUUCCUUGUAACCCCAUUCCAAGGUCUGCCACCUUGUUCCCGUGUUUCCUUCUGCUGGCUUUUCCACGCCUUCUCACAAGAUGCAUUUUAGCCCUCUGAUCAUUUAUUGUACCUUGCAAACUCCGGGACCUUGAUGGCAGUUUUGGUCCCAGAAGGGAGUGGGAGGAUAGAGGACGUCCUUCCUGGACCUCUUCUCGGUCCAGUGGAGUUUGUAUUUGUAAUCCCAGGGGAAAGUUAUUGGAAUCCCAAUAAAUUAACUCCAAUCUACCACUUCCC